GACGAACCGUGCGAACGUUGUUCGGAUUCACUGGGCUUAAAGGGCGCGUAGGCGGGCUUUCAAGUCGGGGGUGAAAUCCCACAGCUUAACUGUGGAAGUGCCUCCGAUACUGGGAGCCUUGAGGGAGGUAGGGGUGUGUGGAACUUCCGGUGGAGCGGUGAAAUGCGUAGAUAUCGGAAGGAACGCCGGUGGCGAAAGCGACGCACUGGACCUCUUCUGACGCUGAGGCGCGAAAGCUAGGGGAGCAAAC
rnacentral:rRNA from 1 species